AAUCAACGCUGGCGGCGUGCCUAACACAUGCAAGUCGAGCGAGAAAAGGGGAGCAAUCCCCUGAGUAAAGCGGCGCACGGGUGAGUAACACGUGGGUAAUCUACCCUGGAGUGGGGAAGUAACACCGGGAAACCGGUGCUAAUACCGCAUACGAUAACGAGGUCUGCGGAUUUCGUUAUGAAAGGAGCAAUUCGCUCUAGGAGGAGCCCGCGGCUGAUUAGCUAGUUGGUGGGGAAUUGGCUCACCAAGGCUACGAUCAGUAUCCGGUCUGAGAGGACGGUCGGACACACUGG
rnacentral:rRNA from 1 species